GAUGAACGCUAGCGGCAGGCUUAAUACAUGCAAGUCGAGGGGUAGCAAGAUUGUAGCAAUACAAUUGUUGACGACCGGCAAACGGGUGCGGAACACGUACACAACCUUCCUACAAGUGGGGAAUAGCCCAGAGAAAUUUGGAUUAAUACCCCGUAACAUAGCGAUGUGGCAUCACAUUGCUAUUAUAGCUUCGGCGCUUGUUGAUGGGUGUGCGGCUGGUUAGAUAGUUGGCGGGGUAACGGCCCACCAAGUCUACGAUCAGUAGCUGAUGUGAGAGCAUGAUCAGCCACACGGGCACUGAGACACGGGCCCGACGCCUACGGGAGGCAGCAGUAAGGAAUAUUGGACAAUGGACGCAAGUCUGAUCCAGCCAUGCCGCGUGAAGGAUUAAGGUCCUCUGGAUUGUAAACUUCUUUUAUAAGGGACGAAAAAAGGCUUUUCUAAGUCGUCUGACGGUACCUUAUGAAUAAGCACCGGCUAACUCCGUGCCAGCAGCCGCGGUAAUAC
rnacentral:rRNA from 1 species